UUAAAUGCAAGAUAAAAUUGUAAUUUGACCUAUGCUGACCAGACGACCCAAGCAACCCAAAAAUUACAUGUCGUUUCUCCGCCAAACCCUUGAUCACUGUAGUUCGACGACAGCUUUCCCUCAUCCAAUUCCUGGUCGCAGCCACCCAUCGCAAUAGCAAUAUGAGGUGCUUUGGGAAUCCAGAAUGAUGUGGUGGAGAUCGGCAGGAGCUUAAGGACUCCAAGUUCGCUUCGAGAUUGCUGGAGCUUCAGAAGAAGCUUAAGAAGAAGGUGAAGAUGCUGAUGAUGGCGGCGGUCACGUGCCGGGGUUCAUGGACAAGGUUUUCCUGUUUUGUCACUGAGAUUUCGGUGAUGCCGAAGCAGGACCAACUUUCCUAUGACGCUCCAUCAUGAUUUCAGACCUGGUUUUGUGUAAAUACAAACCAAAGAGAGAGAGAGCUCAUCCCCCUUUUCCUUUGAUCCAGAUGCUCUUUUUGGUUCCUUUUUUGGUGGUGGCGGCCUUCCGAUGGAGGGGCGUUAGAUUUGGUGGUGGCUGCUGGUUUUCUCAUUAGUUUUAGGAUUUCUGUUGUCUUUUCGUUAUGCUUUUUGGGCUUUGUGUUGUAUUUACUUUUUCUUAAUGGGCUUGUAUUUAGGUUGUGGGAUGCUUUUGGGCUA